GGAAAAUGCAGAAGUUGUUUUCAUUCUGUAGAGAUGAAUAACACUUAAUACUUGUAAUUUAAUUUAUCUCAAUCUAUUAUUUUCUAAAUAUUGGAAAUAACACUUUAUAUAUUUAUAGAAACAUAAAAUGUUAGGGCAAAACAAAUCCAAAUAAUGUCUUAAUUUUCACUGUUUUAGGUUCACAAAGCCAGUUUCUCAUUCAUAUGCAAGAGAAGGGAGAGGUUUUGCAGUACAAAGGCCUUUGCUCUUACAGAGGAAUCAACAUGAUAAAAUCAGAUAUUCGGCAUCUUUUUAACCAUGCUGAAGAAAUGAUGGGAUUUAGCGCUCUGGGACUUAACCCCAAUUACAGUCUCUGGAAUAUUUCAGGUGAAGAAUUGUGCCUUAACCUCACAUUCAACAAUCACUUGUUCUUGAUUACAAUCACUUUGAAAGGAUGUAAGUUCAGUGAAAAGAUACCUCAUAUCACGUUUUCUAUUAGUUGGUUUUCUUGUUACUGUCUCAUUUUUAUUUUGGUGACAAAACAUAUCAUACACACAAGUCUUCUUACAAUUUUCCAUCCAGAUAAAAGAUAUAUAUACAAUUAUGAUAUGAAAUAGACUAUCAUAGAUGAUUGUUGCUGGCCAACAAUUAAUGUCUCAGGGAAAAUAAGUAAAAAAUAUUUAAAAGAAAUAAAACAAAUUGUCUGCUUCA
ensembl:lncRNA